GAUGAACGCUGGCGGCGUGCCUAAUACAUGCAAGUCGAACGCUGAAGCUUGGUGCUUGCACCGAGCGGAUGAGUUGCGAACGGGUGAGUAACGCGUAGGUAACCUGCCUCUUAGCGGGGGAUAACUAUUGGAAACGAUAGCUAAUACCGCAUAAAAGUCGAUAUCGCAUGAUAUUGAUUUGAAAGGUGCAAAUGCAUCACUAAGAGAUGGACCUGCGUUGUAUUAGCUAGUUGGUGAGGUAACGGCUCACCAAGGCGACGAUACAUAGCCGACCUGAGAGGGUGAUCGGCCACACUGGGACUGAGACACGGCCCAGACUCCUACGGGAGGCAGCAGUAGGGAAUCUUCGGCAAUGGGGGCAACCCUGAACGAGCAACGCCGCGUGAGUGAAGAAGGUUUUCGGAUCGUAAAGCUCUGUUGUAAGAGAAGAACGAGUGUGAGAGUGGAAAGUUCACACUGUGACGGUAACUUACCAGAAAGGGACGGCUAACUACGUG
rnacentral:rRNA from 1 species